rnacentral:rRNA from 1 species
GACGAACGCUGGCGGCGUGCUUAACACAUGCAAGUCGAACGGAAAGGCCCUGCUUUUGUGGGGUGCUCGAGUGGCGAACGGGUGGGUAACACGUGAGUAACCUGCCCUUGACUUUGGGAUAACUUCAGGAAACUGGGGCUAAUACCGGAUAGGAGCUCCUGCUGCAUGGUGGGGGUUGGAAAGUUUCGGCGGUUGGGGAUGGACUCGCGGCUUAUCAGCUUGUUGGUGGGGUAGUGGCUUACCAAGGCUUUGACGGGUAGCCGGCCUGAGAGGGUGACCGGCCACAUUGGGACUGAGAUACGGCCCAGACUCCUACGGGAGGCAGCAGUGGGGAAUAUUGCACAAUGGGCGGAAGCCUGAUGCAGCAACGCCGCGUGCGGGAUGACGGCCUUCGGGUUGUAAACCGCUUUCGCCUGUGACGAAGCGUGAGUGACGGUAAUGGGUAAAGAAGCACCGGCUAACCACGUG